CUCAAAGUUGAGCUUUCAUUGCACAAAUAAAAUGGAGUAUUCCUUCUCCCCAUUCCCAAUUGUCACCAAUAUCUAGCAGAGGGAAUAUUUAAAACAUUUUUUCCCUUCAAUACAGAAUGGCUGUUGGGUGUCGUCAGAUCAUGUGAAAAAGCAGCUGAGUGGAAUUUUUCCAGCAACAAACAAGAAACAAAAGAAGGGAGGAUUAAAAAAUGGUUUUGUUGCUGCAUGUAUUUUUAUAAUGUGCUAUGGUACAUGGUUUUUUUAAUUACUGUUAGGAUGUGAAGAAACAAAGAAAAAGAGCAGACAAGUGUGCUGCCAUAGAACUUGGUGAGCAUUACUUGUUACAGAACUGAAUUUUAAGGCAUCACACAUCAGUUAGUGACAUGUAUUGAGGACCAGGAGGAUGGUACUUUACCUGGAUCUACUGAGAAGAGAACAUCUUUGACACAGUACAUAAAAUGAUGCAUCAUUUUGUUCAUAAUCAGGAGGACCCUUCUGGGAGUCAUGUGAGAGUUCAGCUAUUGACCUUAAAAGACAGAAAAUGUCUAUCUCUGUUUGAGGAAAAGAAAAUCUUGGCCAAAGAUACCUCUUAGGAAUUAGCCUGGAUGCUACAUGGUGU